UGCUAAUAAAUGUUUU
rnacentral:sRNA from 1 species